UACGGGGGGGGCAAGCGUUGUUCGGAAUUACUGGGCGUAAAGGGCUCGUAGGCGGCCAACUAAGUCAGACGUGAAAUCCCUCGGCUUAACCGGGGAACUGCGUCUGAUACUGGAUGGCUUGAGAUUGGGAGAGGGAUGCGGAAUUCCAGGUGUAGCGGUGAAAUGCGUAGAUAUCAGGAGGAACACCGAUGGCGAAGGCAGGUCUCUGGGCAUUAACUGACGCUGAGGAGCGAGAGCAUGGGGAGCGAACAGG
rnacentral:rRNA from 1 species